rnacentral:rRNA from 1 species
GGAAUUUUCCGCAAUGGGCGAAAGCCUGACGGAGCAACGCCGCGUGAGGGAUGAAGGCCUCUGGGCUGUAAACCUCUUUUAUCAAGGAAGAAGAUCUGACGGUACUUGAUGAAUAAGCCACGGCUAAUUCCGUGCCAGCAGCCGCGGUAAUACGGGAGUGGCAAGCGUUAUCCGGAAUUAUUGGGCGUAAAGCGUCCGCAGGCGGUCUUGUAAGUCUGUCGUUAAAGCGUGGAGCUUAACUCCAUUUAAGCGAUGGAAACUGCAAGACUAGAGUGUGGUAGGGGCAGAGGGAAUUCCCGGUGUAGCGGUGAAAUGCGUAGAUAUCGGGAAGAACACCAGUGGCGAAGGCGCUCUGCUGGGCCAUAACUGACGCUCAUGGACGAAAGCCAGGGGAGCGAAAGGGAUUAGAUACCCCUGUAGUCCUGGCCGUAAACGAUGAGCACUAGGUGUCGGGGGAAUCGACCCCCUCGGUGUCGUAGCCAACGCGUUAAGUGUUCCGCCUGGGGAGUUCGCACGCAAGUGUGAAACUCAAAGGAAUUGACGG